rnacentral:misc_RNA from 1 species
UUGAUUGAUUUAAUAAUCUACUCGGACGCAAAGAUGCAGGGUUGUGUGGUCCGCCGGGGGCCCCGACGCCCGAAGGCCGGGUCGCCCCCGAGGCAACUGGGUCGGAUAACAUGGGGUUGGAGGUCGGGCCCGGAAGCCCUUGCUCGGUAAUGAUCCCUCCGCAGGUUCACCUACGGAGA